AGUGGUGUAGUGGUUAGCACUCUCGCCUCCCAGACAGAUGCCUCGGGUUCAACUCCACCCAGUGGUGCCUCUGUGUUAGGUGGUGUAGGCUAAGCCUGCAUGGGAUUCACUCCAUACUUGUAAAAGUAAUGGAAAAAAGUUUUUUAAAACUUCCGCAUCUGAAAAGAAUCCCCAAAUAUUUUGCAAAAAGUCAUGAAAUUCUAUCUUUAGUCAUAUGAAGGGGGACGCCGGUGAGAAAACGUACUUUUGAAUAAAAAUCUGAAUUUUUUCUGAAUUGGAGUCAUAUGACAUUCUAAUGGCAGCAGUUGACACGGUACAGUGGUGUAGUGGUUAGCACUCUCGCCUCCCAGACAGAUGCCUCGGGUUCAACUCCACCCAGUGGUGCCUCUGUGUUAGGUGGUGUAGGCUAAGCCUGCAUGGGAUUCACUCCAUACUUGUAAAAGUAAUGGAAAAAAGUUUUUUAAAACUUCCGCAUCUGAAAAGAAUCCCCUAAAUAUUUUGCAAAAAGUCAUGAAAUUCUAUCUUUAGUCAUAUGAAGGGGGACGCCGGUGAGAAAACGUACUUUUGAAUAAAAAUCUGAAUUUUUUCUGAAUUGGAGUCAUAAGACAUUCUAAUGGCAGCAGUUGACACGGUACAGUGGUGUAGUGGUUAGCACUCUCGCCUCCCAGACAGAUGCCUCGGGUUCAACUCCACCCAGUGGUGCCUCUGUGUUAGGUGGUGUAGGCUAAGCCUGCAUGGGAUUCACUCCAUACUUGUAAAAGUAAUGGAAAAAAGUUUUUUAAAACUUCCGCAUCUGAAAAGAAUCCCCAAAUAUUUUGCAAAAAGUCAUAAAAUUCUAUCUUUAGUCAUAUGAAGGGGGACGCCGGUGAGAAACGUAGUUUUGAAUAAAAAUCAAAAAAAUUUCUAAAUUGGAGUCAUAAGACAUUCUAAUGGCAGCAGUUGACACGGUACAGUGGUGUAGUGGUUAGCACUCUCGCCUCCCAGACAGAUGCCUCGGGUUCAACUCCACCCAGUGGUGCCUCUGUGUUAGGUGGUGUAGGCUAAGCCUGCAUGGGGUUCAGUACAUACUUCUAAAAGUGAUGGAAAAAAGUUUUUUUAAGCUUCAGAGUCUGAAAAGAAUGCCAAAAUAUUUUGCAAAAAGUCAUGAAAUUCUAUCUUUAGUCAUAUGAAGGGGCACGACGGUGAGAAAACGUACUUUUGAAUAGAAAAUCUGAAUUUUUUCUAAAUUGGAGUCAUAAGACAUUCUAAUGGCAGCAGUUUAUAUGGUACAGUGGUGAAAUUCUAUCUUUAGUCAUAUGAAGGGGGACGACGGUGAGAAAACGUACUUUUGAAUAGAAAAUCUGAAUUUUUUCUAAAUUGGAGUCAUAAGACAUUCUAAUGGCAGCAGUUUAUACGGUACAGUGGUGUAGUGGUUAGCACUCUCGCCUCCCAGACAGAUGCCUCGGGUUCAACUCCACCCAGUGGCGCCACUGUGUUAGGUGGUUUAGGCUAAGCCUGCAUGGGGUUCACUCCAUACUUGUAAAAGUAAUGGAAAAAACUUUUUUUAAACUUCCGCGUCCGAAAAGAAUCCCAAAAUAUUUUGCAAAAAGUCAUUAAAUUCUAUCUUUAGUCAUAUGAAGGUGCAGGAUGGUGAGAAAACCUACUUUUGAAUAAAAAUCCGAAUUUUUUCUAAAUUGGAGUCAUAAGACAUUCUAAUGGCAGCAGUUGACACGGUACAGUGGUGUAGUGGUUAGCACUCUCGCCUCCCAGACAGAUCCCUCGGGUUCAACUCCACCCAGUGGCGCCUCUGUGUUAGGUGGUGUAGGCUAAGCCUGCAUACUUGAAAUGAAAAAAACUUUAAGCCAUUUUUACACCACUACUCAGCAUGCGCCGGAAG
ensembl:lncRNA